rnacentral:rRNA from 1 species
AGUGAACGCUGGCGGUAGGCCUAACACAUGCAAGUCGAACGGCAGCACAGUAAGAGCUUGCUCUUACGGGUGGCGAGUGGCGGACGGGUGAGGAAUACAUCGGAAUCUACUUUUUCGUGGGGGAUAACGUAGGGAAACUUACGCUAAUACCGCAUACGACCUACGGGUGAAAGCAGGGGAUCUUCGGACCUUGCGCGAUUGAAUGAGCCGAUGUCGGAUUAGCUAGUUGGCGGGGUAAAGGCCCACCAAGGCGACGAUCCGUAGCUGGUCUGAGAGGAUGAUCAGCCACACUGGAACUGAGACACGGUCCAGACUCCUACGGGAGGCAGCAGUGGGGAAUAUUGGACAAUGGGCGCAAGCCUGAUCCAGCCAUACCGCGUGGGUGAAGAAGGCCUUCGGGUUGUAAAGCCCUUUUGUUGGGAAAGAAAAGCAGCAGGUUAAUACCCCGCUGUUCUGACGGUACCCAAAGAAUAAGCACCGGUUAACUUCGU